CCUCAUCCUGCUCAGCGGGCUUGGGUCGUCCGGCCGCGGGGUCAGGGAAGACCAGAGGACCACUAGCCCCAGGAAGCUUCCCACCACCAGCAAACUGCGUGGUGAAUUUGUAACCGAAAGGCCCAGGUGAGAUGUGCAAAUAUCACUGGAUUGGAGGAGCUCACUUGGAAAGCCAGUAUUCCUCCUGAGCUAAUGAAAAGAAAGGCUGUCGUCUUAUGCCAAAAGCAAUACCAACCUUGUUCACGGGCUGAGAUCUAGAGUGUGUAAUUCACGAAGUAUGAAUCUGCUGGGUAAUGUGAUAUGAAAAGCGAAUGCACCAUUUCUUGGUGAUGAUUCAGGUCAGCGUUGGGACCCAGGAAUCUCCUGUUAAUCAGUACCCUGGUGAUUUUGAUCCAGGUCAUCAAGACCAUGGCUUCCAUCGUAGGCAGUCACACUCUUUCUCUCUUGGAUCAUUUGCUGUGGGGAAGCAAACUGUCAUAUGAGAGGACACUCAAACAGCCUCUGGAGUCUCAUUUGCUAAGGAACUGAGGACUCCAGCCUGAGAACUCAGGCAAGUAACUGAGGCCUGCCAACAACCAUGGAGAAAGCCUGGAAGUGGAUCCUCCCUCAGCCUUCAGUCGAGACAACAGCUGCAAUGACAGCCAAGCCAGCGCCACCCAGCUUAGCCACCCCCAGAGAACUAACUCUCAGAAACCAUGUAAGAUAAUACAUGUUUGUUGUUUUAAGCUGCUAAGUUUUGGGGUAAUUUAUUAUACAAUAGAUAAUUAAAACACAUAGCAUAUAAAUAAAAUCAAUAAAACCAGUAUGGGUCAGUAAUGAGUAAAUUAGAUAAUUAGACAAAUUUUGACAUUUCUGUUUCUAUGUUAAUUAUUUUUCUUCAGAAAAAUUCUCUACGGGUAAAAUAUGUUAAGAGUGGUUACCAACGGACAUUUUAAAAUUAAUAAUCAGUUUGGGAGGCCAAGGCGGUUGGAUUGCUUUAACUCAGGAGUUUGAGGCCAACCUGGGCAACAUGACAAAACCCUGUCUCUACAAAAAAUACAAAAAUUAGCCAGGCAUGGUCGUGUGUGCCUGUAGUCCCAGCUACUUGGGAAGCUGAGGUGGGAGGAUCAAUUGAGCCUGGGAGGCCAGGCUGCAGUGAGUCAAAAUCAUACCAUCUCAAUCCAGCCUGAGCAACAGAGUGAGACCCUAUCUAAAAUAUAUACAUGUAUAUUAACAAUUAUCUCUUGAAACUAAAGUAUAAUCACAGUACUAGUGUACUAUUUUCCAUUUUAUUAAAUGCACUAAACAGUAUUGCAAUGUGUUUGUGUUUAUUAAAAAAUAUUUUGGAAAUCUUUGGGAGAAAAGCUACUUCAAAUUAGUCUGAAAACUAUCAUUUCCUUCUAGCAAUGUGUAAUAAUGUAAUGACUGCUUAGAAUUUCCUGAGAGGGACUGUAACAUAUAUUUUAAGCAUAAUAUUGUAAACAAACAAGUUCUUUUGCAGUACUUGAAGAUCUUUUUUUGUGACUAUCCCCCUUAUAUAUUAUGAAGAUACAUUUUUUGUGACUAUCCUCUUUAUAUGUAUUGUGAAGAUAAGGUUUUUUAUAGUGAAUAUCCUCCUAAUGCUACUAGUAUUGUUUGCAAUCUGUCAUUAUUCUUAGUGUAAAAUUAAACUUCAACAGAGUACCUGUGUGAA
rnacentral:lncRNA from 1 species